rnacentral:rRNA from 1 species
UACGUAGGGUCCGAGCGUUGUCCGGAGUUACUGGGCGUAAAGCGCGCGCAGGCGGCGGUAUAAGCAUGGCGUGAAAGCCCCAGGCUUAACCUGGGAGGGUCGUCGUGGACUGUACCGCUUGAGGGCGGUAGGGGCUGGUGGAAUGCCUGGUGUAGUGGUGAAAUGCGUAGAGAUCAGGCGGAACACCCGUGGCGAAGGCGGCCAGCUGGGCCGUCCCUGACGCUGAGGAGCGAAAGCGUGGGGAGCGAACAGG